rnacentral:lncRNA from 1 species
UUCCCUUCCCAGCGAUUCCCUCUCCUUGGUGCAAGCCCUGCUCUUCCCACGGAUGCUUCCCUAGACCCAUGUGGCAUUUCAGAUGUCUUGCUUAUGGUUUAAUUAAUAGUCCUUUGAUUUCAUUCUCAGAGAAUGAAAUUGGCAGUGCCUGGGAGGCCACCCACAUCUGCCAACUGCUCUGAUUUCCGUUCUAAGAGCUUUGCGUCAGAAAGAGAGGUCCGGGGACCAGCAAGGAAAGGUGGGGGUAAUCCCAGGGCAGCCCCAGGGCCUCAGGACAAACCUUUUCCACCCUUAGAAGAUGUUUACACAGAGUAGCACAAAGCAUAGAGUACCAAACAAAACCCUCACCCCUUCCUCCGGCCCUGGAAACUCAAUGGGAUCUGUCUCCCAACCCCCUUCCCUCCCUGACCUGCCUCUGUCCCAUGCCCUGGCUGUUCCCUGUGCCUGGAAUAUGCCUCGUGAGCUUCACAGCUCAGCUUAAAUGUCACCUCCUUGGAAGAGGCACCCUGACCACUAUCUGAGGAUUUCACCCACCAAUUCUGAGCCCCCUCCCUUGGUCUAGUGAUCUGCAUGGAGCACUGUCACUCUCAUCCUGUUUUGCGUAUGUGUUUGUUUGCUUAUGAACUCUCACCCCUACUGAAGUGGGAGCUCCAUGUCAGCAGGCACUGGGUCUUGUUCACCACCAUAUCCUCAGCUCUGCUCCAAAUGGCUGGCUCCAUAAUUACUGUUGAGUGAGUGAGUGAGUGAAUGAAUGAAUCUGGGGGAAAGAGUGCUGGCGAGAAGGUCAGGAAACAUGGUUAACUGGCUCUGUGAGUGACCUUGGAUAAGCCUCUACAUUAUCCGUGGAGCUCUGUUUGUCAGCUGAAAUGAAGGGAACAGACCCAAUGAUCCCGAGUGGCUCCUCCAUCCCUGAUAUUCUCAGGUGUCGUUCAGAGGAUAGCCAUGCCUUUGGGCAUCUUGGCUUUCAAGCUCAGAGAUACAAAGGGACUGAAUAAGAGGUGAUACAAGAAAGUGAGGAAGAGAGGCAGGGAGGCUGUGCACAAGGAAGGAGGUGGUCUUUCUUCCCACACCAUGUCCACCCCUACCCAGAGGUUCUAGAAAAAUCCCACUG